AUGCUGUGAUGACACCCACUUGGUUUCGCUUCUGGCUGAGUUUCAGAGAUGACACCUUUCUCUUGGCUGUCUGAGCAU
rnacentral:snoRNA from 1 species